AGCUUGUUAGCUCUUAUCAUGUUGUUGAACAAUGGAUUCAUGGUUUUAGGUAGCAGAAAAAACUUCUUAGAACACAAAUUUACCAAUAAAUUUUUUCUCGAAGACGAAGGUCCAUCUGAUGGAGGAAAGGGACAUAAGACUAAGCCACCUGGAGGUCCACCAUUUACCAAUAAAUUUUUUCUCGAAGACGAAGGUCCAUCUGAUGGAGGAAAGGGACAUAAGACUAAGCCACCUGGAGGUCCACCAUUUACCAAUAAAUUUUUUCUCGAAGACGAAGGUCCAUCUGACGGAGGAAAGGGACAUAAGACUAAGCCACCUGGAGGUCCACCAUUUACCAAUAAAUUUUUUCUCGAAGGCGAAGGUCCAUCUGACGGAGGAAAGGGACAUAAGACUAAGCCACCUGGAGGUCCACCAUUUACCAAUAAAUUUUUUCUCGAAGGCGAAGGUCCAUCUGACGGAGGAAAGGGACAUAAGACUAAGCCACCUGGAGGCCCACCAUUAACCAAUAAAUUUUUUCUCGAAGACGAAGGUCCAUCUGACGGAGGAAAGGGACAUAAGGCUAAGCCACCUGGAGGUCCACCAUCAGAUUUGUAUUUUGAUGAGAACUUUGAAGUGUUUUGGAACUUAAAAGAUUCUAAAAGUUUCCAGAAACAAACUCAUCAUGAAUUUUCAACCGAAGGAUCAGGUCCAUCCGACGGAGGAGAGGGACA
rnacentral:lncRNA from 1 species